rnacentral:rRNA from 1 species
CAUGGCCAGGAUGAAGGUGCGGUAACACGCACUGGAGGUCCGAACCCACUAAUUUGAAAAAUUAGGGGAUGAGCUGUGGAUAGGGGUGAAAGGCUAAACAAAACUUGGAAAUAGCUGGUUCUCUCCGAAAACUAUUUAGGUAGUGCCUCAAGUAUCACCGACGGGGGUAAAGCACUGUUAUGGCUAGGGGGUCAUCGCGACUUACCAAACCAUUGCAAACUCAGAAUACCGUUGAGUGCGAGCUUGGGAGACAGACAUCGGGUGCUAACGUCCGGUGUCAAGAGGGAAACAACCCAGACCGCCGAUUAAGGUCCCAAAGACAUAGUUAAGUGGGAAACGAGGUGGGAAGGCUUAGACAGCCAGGAGGUUGGCUUAGAAGCAGCCAUCCUUUAAAGAAAGCGUAAUAGCUCACUGGUCGAGUCGUCCUGCGCGGAAGAUGUAACGGGG